AUAUUCAUAAAACAAAAGCUGGUCAACUCAACUCACAGAUCUACUCCUUCCUUCCCCCAAAACACACACACACACACAGAGUAGAGAAUCAAUGGCCGCUUCAUCUUCCAGUUGCUUCUCCCUUCUUCUCGUCAAGUCUCAGAGCUCAAACAACACAAAAAUGGCGGAGAUUGCUCAUUAUUUCUCCGCAACAACACUAAUUUGCGGCGGCUACUUCACACAGCCGCCCCAACAAAAACAGGCUCCAAUCGAUCAAACAAGGAUUUAGUUGUGAGGAACGCAGCUCCGGAAGCAGCUGCUACUGUUGAUCUUCUCUCUUCUUUCUCUCUCCCCUCCAUUCCCGGAAUUUCUGAUAGUCCUUUGAUAGCUCUGAUCGCGGGAUUGACGGUGGGAUUACCUUUCGUAAUCCAACGGCUAUUAACAUUGACAAAGGAGAUUGAUAUGGCGGCAGAGACGGUGGAGAAAAUAGCGGAUGCGGUGGGGAAAGUGGCGGAUGAAGUCGAUAAAGCGGCGGAAGGUAUAGCGGAGUCGCUACCGGAAGGCGGACUUAAGAAAAUGGUUCAUGUUAUUGAGGAUUUGGCUGAAGAAACUGCAAAGGAUGCUCAGAAAGUUGAAGAUCUCAUGGAUAAGGUGGAAGAAUUGGACGACAAGCUGGAAGCAUUUUUGGAGAAGCAAUCAAAAGGUCCUGGAAAAGCGUGAAAAAAGUGGAAAACAAUUCAUUAUUGAAAGAGAGGGGUGCUACAUGAUAUUAAAGUGUUAUCUGCUGCUGAUAAAAAGUGAAGAUAAUAUUCCAUAGGAUUAAUUAAAACAUAUGCUUAAUUAGAGAUUAAAUCCCUUUUGUCUUAUUGCAGCAUGUAAUAACUCUCAUACUUUCAAAUCUCAUUGUUUGUUGGUAAUUAAAUUAAAAUUCCACGCUGAAUUAAUAAUGCCUUUCAAACAAUAGCUGGAAGGGGAAAUUAGCUCA